AACGGCCGCUAAUACCCCAUAUGCCGAGAGGUGAAAUGAAUUUCGCCUGAGGAUGAGCUCGCGUCUGAUUAGCUAGUUGGUGUGGUAAAGGCUCACCAAGGCAUCGAUCAGUAGCUGGUCUGAGAGGAUGAUCAGCCACACUGGGACUGACACACAGCCCAGACUCCUACGGGAGGCAGCAGUGGGGAAUUUUCCGCAAUGGGCGCAAGCCUGACUGAGCAACUCCGCGUGAGGGAUGAAGGCCUCUGGGCUGUAAACCUCUUUUCUCAAGGAAGAAGAACUGACGGUACUUGAGGAAUAAGCCACGGCUAAUUCCGUGCCAGCAGCCGCGGUAAUACGGGAGUGGCAAGCGUUAUCCGGAAUUAUUGGGCGUAAAGCGUCCGCAGGCGGUCUUGAAAGUCUGUUGUUAAAGCCUGGAGCUCAACUCCAUUUCAGCAAUUCAAACUAGAAGACUAGAGUGUGGUAGGGGCAGACGGAAUUCCCGGUGUAGCGGUGAAAUGCGUAGAUAUCGGGAAGAACACCAGUGGCGAAGGCGGUCAGCUGGACCAUAACUGACGUUA
rnacentral:rRNA from 1 species